GACGAACCGUGCGAACGUUAUUCGGAAUCACUGGGCUUAAAGCGCGUGUAGGCGGGCCGGCACGUCGGUCGCUGAAAUCCCCCGGCUCAACCGGGGAAGGGGCGCCGAUACGGCCGGCCUGGAGGGACGUAGGGGGGGCUGGAACUUCCGGUGGAGCGGUGAAAUGCGUUGAGAUCGGAAGGAACGCCCGUGCGAAGACGAGCCCCUGGACGUCUACUGACGCUGAGACGCGAAAGCCAGGGGAGCGAACGGG
rnacentral:rRNA from 1 species